rnacentral:rRNA from 1 species
GGGUUUCAAACUAGCCAUGCACGUCUAAGUACAAACUAAAUGAUGGUGAAACUGCAAAUGGCUCAUUACAACGGUUAUGAUGUACCCGGGAGUUCCGAUGGAUAUUUCCAGUAACACUAGAACUAAUACAUGUCCCUGCGUUUAUUAGUUUCGCACAGUCCGUCGCUGAGUCAUGGUAAACAGUUGAUCGACUCGACGUCCCGGAACAGUUUCCGCCCCAUCAGCUUCGAUGGUUGGGUAUUGGCCUACCAUUGCAACAACGGGUAACGAGGAAUUAGGGUUUGAUUUCGGAGAGGGAGCCUGAGAAACGGCUACCACAUCUACGGAUGGCAGCAGGCGCGCAAAUUACCCAAUGCAGACACUGUGAGGUAGUGACGAGAAAUAAUAAAGCGGGACUUCUGUUUCGCUAUUAUAAUGAGGAAUAACCAAAGGUCAUUCCGAUUAGCAACUGAUGGGAAAGUCUGGUGCCAGCAGCCGCGGUAAUACCAGCGUCAGUAGCA